rnacentral:rRNA from 1 species
UGGGGAAUCUUGGACAAUGGGGGCAACCCUGAUCCAGCGACGCCGCGUGGGUGGUAAGGCCUUCGGGUUGUAAAGCCCUUUCACCGGGGAAGAUGAUGACAUUACCCGGAGAAGAAGCGCCGCCUAACUCCGUGCCAGCAGCCGCGGUAAGACGGAGGCCGCUAGCGUUCUUCGGAAUCACUGGGCGUAAUGGGCGCGAAGGCGGCAGUUUAAGUGGAGGGUGAAUGCCCGGGGCUCAACCCCGGAACGGCCUUCGAGACAGGGCAGCACGAGACCGGAAGAGGAGGGUGGAAUACCCAGUGUAGAGGUGAAAUUCGUAGAUAUUGGGUGGAACACCAGUGGCGAAAGCGGCUCUCUGGUCCGGAUCUGACGCUGAGGCGCGAAAGCGUGGGGAGCAAACAGGAUUAGAUACCCCCGUAGUCC